AAAUUGAAGAGUUUGAUCAUGGCUCAGAUUGAACGCUGGCGGCAGGCCUAACACAUGCAAGUCGAACGGUAACAGAAAGCAGCUUGCUGCUUUGCUGACGAGUGGCGGACGGGUGAGUAAUGUCUGGGAAACUGCCUGAUGGAGGGGGAUAACUACUGGAAACGGUAGCUAAUACCGCAUAACGUC
rnacentral:rRNA from 1 species